rnacentral:rRNA from 1 species
AUUGAACGCUGGCGGCAGGCCUAACACACGCAAGUCGAGCGGAUGAAGAGAGCUUGCUCUCUGAUUUAGCGGCGGACGGGUGAGUAAUGCCUAGGAAUCUGCCUGGUAGUGGGGGAUAACGUUCCGAAAGGAACGCUAAUACCGCAUACGUCCUACGGGAGAAAGCAGGGGACCUUCGGGCCUUGCGCUAUCAGAUGAGCCAGGGUCGGGUUAGCUAGUUGGUGAGGUAAUGGCUCACCAAGGCGACGAUCCGUAACUGGUCUGAGAGGAUGAUCAGUCACACUGGAACUGAGACACGGUCCAGACUCCUACGGGAGGCAGCAGUGGGGAAUAUUGGACAAUGGGCGAAAGCCUGAUCCAGCCAUGCCGCGUGUGUGAAGAAGGUCUUCGGAUUGUAAAGCACUUUAAGUUGGGAGGAAGGGCAGUAAGUUAAUACCUUGCUGUUUUGACGUUACCGACAGAAUAAGCACCGGCUAACUUCGUGCCAGCCGCCGCGGUAAUAC